UCUAACAAUUACAGAUACUUUGUCAUUUGC
rnacentral:piRNA from 1 species